AAGGGUUGUGGUUUCUAUGGGGCAGAGGUCGUCUAGGGGAUGCUAUGAACCCAACUUAGGUCCUGGUGAUGGUUUCUAAAACAGUGAGACUUGCGGGGAGAGCAGUGCUCAUGUUUUAGCCUUGUUUAGUUGUAUUGCACUCCAGAUCUGAUCUUGUUUAGUCUUUAGUAAAAAAAAUCACCCAACUGCUUCAAGUUUAUUCAAUCUUAGCAGUAAUACAGAAAAUCAUUAGUUAUCAGUGUUUUUGUGUUUAAUCCAAUCUUAUCUAUCAUUUUUUUUGUCAGCCUUCUUUCUCCCUGUUUUUAGUUCUGUUAUCUGUUUUUUUAGAUCAUUGGUUAUCAUUCAUAAUUCAGUGUGUUUGUAUUUAGUUUAUCAUUCAGCUUUGUAUUUAUUUUUUGUCUGUCAUCUUCUUCUAGUUGAUCAGUCCAUAUUGUCUUUCUUAUCGGUUUUGUCAUUAGUAAUUAGUUACUAGUCUUGUUUUGUCCUCUAUGUUAGUUAGUUCAUCAGUGUAUUUAGUUUUUAGUUAUAAUUUAUAAUUAUUUUGCCUUACUAUUUAGCAUUUUCCAGUUUCCAUAUCAUUCUUCAUUUAUCAGUCAUCUGCAUUGUUUCUUUCUCCCUGUUUUUAGUUCUCAGUUAUCUUUUCUUAGAUCAUUAUUUAGCAUUCAUAUGUCAGUGUGUUUGUAUUUAGUUUAUCAUUUAGUCUUUGUAUUUAUUUUCUGUCUGUCAUCUUCUUCUAGUUGAUCAGUCCAUGGUCUUUCUUAUCGAUUUUGUCAUUAGUAAUUAGUUAUUAGUCUUGUUUUGUCCUCUAUGUUAGUUAGUUCAUCAGUGUAUUUACUUUUCAGAUUUUAAGCCUCUUUUUAUUUCUUAGUAAAUGUUAGUUUAUUAGUCUUGUUUUUGCAUUAAUUAGUUUUGAAAAACUAACCCUAUCUGUGUGUUGAUUCCUCAGUUUUUCUUUUAUUGUUUUCAAUCUUGUUCAUCAGUUCCUUUCAGAUUUUUUGCUCAAUUUGUGUAUUUUUAAAAUUAAACCGUAUCAGUCUUCCAUUUUUUAGGUCGAUCAGUUUCAUUCUUUGUUUUAAUCUAGGUGUAUUUGUUUAUAUCUAGAGCUCCCAAUUAACCUGAUUUAUGAGAAAAGUUUUCAUGGUCCAAACAACGCCUAAAUUGGUUUCGAUUAUGAGGCUAUGCCUUUUUUUAAAUUAUGGUUCUAAAAGCCAGGGCACACGUGCAACGAAUUUUUCAGUGUCACGCUAGCGAAAGCCUUUUCAUUAAUGUGUUCACUUAUUAGGUCUUCAGUCAUUCGAUUGUCAUCUUGAGUCGUUGUAGUUCACUUAUUAGGUUUACAGUCUUCUUUUCUCUUCUGCUAUCUGUUUUAUUCAGUCAUUAUUGUUCAAAUUUCCUCUAAUUUUCUUCAUUUUAUUCAAGUAUAAUUUUUCCUUGAUCUUCUUUUGCUUAGUUACUCUUAGUUCUAGGCCAUACAGAAUGCUUAGUCAUUCUUAGUUUUAGUAAAUCUUCAUUUAUCAACAGUUUUUUAUAGUUUGUUUUUACGUAUAAUUAGUUAACCCUAGUUGUACUCAUAUUGGAUCUUACAUGCUUAUUCCUAUCUAGUUUUCGGUCAGAGACCAGAUGAAAGUAGUUUUCAGACCAGUAUUACUACAUAUAGAAGAAAGGUCAGCCAGCAUAGCGCUGCAAGUUCCACAUUGUGUGCUCGCGCUAGGGAUGGAAUGGAAGUGUCAUAAAUUAUAUCAUGGGAUCAGUGCUCCUUUUUCUAUGAGCUUGUAUCAUUUAGCUAUUAUUCAGUUUCUUGGAGUUUAGGCUUGGAAUGGAUUCGCUAUACCAUGGAUCAUGUGUUAACUUGUAUCAGUGUUGUACUGGCCUCUCAUACUUUUACGAUUUGGAUGAAUAAGGUAACAAAUUUCUUCUUUUGCAUCAUUGUCCUUUCAUACAUUUCAGAUUUUGAUGAAUUGCAGGAGAUCCUUAUAUUAUUUCUUCAGUGUUUUAUCAGUCAGUGAGCUAGAACCUAGUUCUUGGUCAGUUUAAUCUUUCUUCGGUUUCUAUAUGUUCCUAGGUGAAUUAUCAGUACUGUUCAGUGUUACAUUCGGUGUUUCAUUACUUUCUUUCUUCAGAUUUGUCCAUGCUUUUCAGUUGUGAUAUAUGGCACUUUUGCAAACUGUUUUUUUUCUUCAGUUCUUCAAAUUUUCUAUCUAGUUUUUUUUCAUUGUCUUAUAUCUCUCACUUUACUUCAUUUGCUUUUUUGUACUCGUACUAAUUCUCAUUUCCUCAUUAUUAUUCUUCAAUCCUUUCUUUUUAUAUGACUUACCACUCUUUCAAUCUUUUGCCCUUGUCAUUUAAUUUUUGCCAGUCUUGUCAUUUAGCCAUUCUUUUCUUAUACUACUGUAGUAAGUUUGAGUGAUGCAAUUUUGAGUUUUGGUUCGCCUUGUCAAUUGUGACAGCAGGGCCAUUCUCAGUUCCUGAUUUUUUUUCUUGCAGGGUGUUAUUUAAUUAUUUAAUUGAACGGUUCAGAGUUUGAAGAUGUUACUUAGGGACAACCAGAAUUGUUCGAUAUUUCUCUGAAAAUAAAAGAACCGCUUGAUUAUAUAGAAGACAUGUGUCGACCAUUGCUGAAUUUUUUAUUGAAAAGGCAGCAAGUAUUUUAGGGUACCACAUAGUGAGAAGACACACAAUACCAGAGAGCAAGUUGCGUCAAUCUCUGAGAGAUCACCAAAGUUCAGUUCGACUACUGUACGACAUGUCACCUUCUGACAUCAGCUGAACACUGCUAUCGACAUGUCACCUUCUGACAUCAGCUGAACACUGCUAUAACUAAAUGCCAGUCUAUAGUUGGCCAGCUAUCCCUGAAUAACUGGAGAAGGCAGGUCCGUAGUUUGGGUAUAAUCUAGUUUGAGUACUAAACAGAAGUGUAUGUACACAGCAAGGUCUUUGUUCAGGUUCAGAGAUACUUGUACUGUUUAGGUUUCAGAGACACUUGUAAACCAUUAACUGAAUUUAGGAUUCUUGUGUCCACGGCCAAGGUCUAUCAGCACAAAAGGCCAAGGUCACUAGUUUAUUUUUUACAUCUUUGUUUCAGUGUUGUAUUCAGUCAUCUUUCUCUCUAUCAUUGGUCAUUCAGCUUUCAGUUAUUAGCUUCAUGAUUAGUCAUCUCUGUCUUGCAUUGUUCUUCAGUCAUGUUCAGUGUUAUUCAGCGAACAGAGGUAACUGAUAUUCAUGUUCACAGUAUUAUUAUUUAGAAUGUUACAG
rnacentral:lncRNA from 1 species